rnacentral:rRNA from 1 species
GACGAACGCUGGCGGCGUGCUUAAUACAUGCAAGUCGAGCGAGGCCCAUCCAGUGGCAACACUGGGGAAGGCCGAGCGGCGAACGGGUGAGUAACACGUGAGCAACCUGCCCCGAAGUCUGGAAUAACAUCGGGAAACCGGUGCUAAUACCGGAUUGCCCCACCUGACCGCAUGAUCGGGUGAGGAAAGAUCUAUCGCUUCGGGAGGGGCUCGCGGCCUAUCAGCUAGNGGCGGGGUAACGGCCCACCAAGGCGUCGACGGGUAGCUGUCUGAGAGGACGACCAGCCACACUGGGACUGAGACACGGCCCAGACUCCUACGGGAGGCAGCAGUAGGGAAUCUUGCGCAAUGGGCGAAAGCCUGACGCAGCAACGCCGCGGUGGGGGAGUGACGG